rnacentral:rRNA from 1 species
GCUGCGGCAGGCCUAACACAUGCAAGUCGAACGAACUCUUCGGAGUGAGUGGCAGACGGGUUAGUAACACGUGGGAACCUACCCUUUAGUUCGGAAUAACGUCGAGAAAUCGUCGCUAAUACCGUAUACGCCCUUCGGGGGAAAGAUUUAUCGCUAAAGGAUGGGCCCGCGGCAGAUUAGGUAGUUGGUGGGGUAAUGGCCUACCAAGCCGACGAUCUGUAGCUGGUUUGAGAGGAUGAUCAGCAACACUGGAACUGAGACACGGUCCAGACUCCUACGGGAGGCAGCAGUGGGGAAUAUUCGGCAAUGGGCGAAAGCCUGACCGAGCCAUGCCGCGUGAGUGAUGAAGGCCUUAGGGUUGUAAAACUCUUUCGCCGGUGAAGAUAAUGACGGUAACCGGUAAAGAAGCCCCGGCUAAUUUCGUGCCAGCAGCCGCGGUAAUACGAAAGGGGCAAGCAUUGUUCGGAAUUACUGGGCGUAAAGCGCGCGUAGGCGGCCUGCCAAGCCAGAGGUGAAAUCCCAGGGCUCAACCCUGGAACUGCCUUUGGAACUGGUAAGCUAGAGGAUGCAAGAGGAGAGUGGAAUUCCGAGUGUAGAGGUGAAAUUCGUAGAUAUUCGGAAGAACACCAGUGGCGAAGGCGACUCUCUGGUGCAUAUCCUGA